UUUGUUGGUCAUUCGCGGGGGUUUCUGUUUUGAGUUCUAUCCUAUUACAUACAUUAAGUCAAAAUAUCCAUGAAAUCCUUUAUCAUCGUGAUGUAUAAUAAGGCUCGAUCGUUGCGAAACGUCCAUUAUUUUUGUGAAAUCAAGAAGGAACACGUCUCUUGGUCAUGUUACACUGGAACACUGCACCACGUGGAGUUAAAGGGCAACUCAUACCGGCCAGACCUCUCUGCUCCACAACCUGGGAACAUCUGACUGACCACUCUCUGCUUGGCAGUUUAGCUGCUUGUUCCAGCCAGGAUACCUGUCUGUACGGGCCGCACAAUGUUAGUCUCCUUGCUGUUGAAUAUUCUAGACCUACCACCGUCAUGUCAUCAGCAAACUUAAUGACAGUGAUGGAGUCAUGCUUGGCCACGCUCAAGGUGCAUAGGGAGCACAGGUGAGGACACACUGCUGAGGGGCUCUCAUAUUGAGAACCAGUGGGGAGGAGGUGAUGUUGCCCAUCCUCGCCACCUGAGGAUGACCCUUCAGGAAGUCCAGGAUCCAGUGGCACAGGGGAGUGUCUACACUCAGGGCACUGAAGUUGGUGAUGAGCUUAGAGCUCUAUGGUAUUGAAGGCUGAACUGUAAUCAACAAACAGCAGUCCUGACAUAGGUGUCCCUCUUAUCCAGGUGAGUGAGGGCGGUGUGCAGCUCAGUGGCAGUUGCAUCACCUGUAGAUCUGUUGGAGCAGGGAGUUGGGUAGUAAGAAGCAGAUGGAGUCUUUGACCUGCCUCUCAAAACUUCAGCUUGGAAUGGACGUACGUGUGACUGGACGGCAGUCGUUUAUGUAUGUCAUCAUUGUUUUUUGGUAUAGGAACAGUGGUAGACAUCUUGAAGCAUGUGGGGUGAGAGGUUAAAAAUGUUUGUAAAGACGCCGGCCAACUGAACACAUUCUGAAACACAGCCUGACGUGCCAUCCAGACCAGCUUCCCUGCAUAAAUUCGGUCACUUGAAGGGCCUGUGCACAUCAAAUUCAGAGAACAAAAGUAUACUGACAUCAUGGGUAGCAGGUGCACUCCCAGGGAUAACAGUGUCAUUUACCAGAAAGCAAGCAUGAAAGGUGUUUAGCUAAUCUGUUUGAGAUG